rnacentral:rRNA from 1 species
GGGUUGUGAGGUUAAGCGACUAAGCGUACACGGUGGAUGCCCUGGCAGUCAGAGGCGAUGAAGGACGUGCUAAUCUGCGAAAAGCGUCGGUAAGGUGAUAUGAACCGUUACAGCCGGCGAUGUCCGAAUGGGGAAACCCAGUGCAAUUCGUUGCACUAUCGUUAACUGAAUACAUAGGUUAACGAGGC